rnacentral:rRNA from 1 species
AGCGCAGGCGGGAAGACAAGUUGGAAGUGAAAUCCAUGGGCUCAACCCAUGAACUGCUUUCAAAACUGUUUUUCUUGAGUAGUGCAGAGGUAGGCGGAAUUCCCGGUGUAGCGGUGGAAUGCGUAGAUAUCGGGAGGAACACCAGUGGCGAAGGCGGCCUACUGGGCACCAACUGACGCUGAGGCUGAAAGUGUGGUAAGCAAACA